CGGCCGUGACGUCAGGCGCCCGGCUGCUCCUCACUUGCUCUGAGCCAGGUGCGGCGAGUCUGCAGGCUGGUCCGGGCUCCUCAGGUCCAGACCCGACCAUUAUCCAGUCGGUUCGUGGAGAGGAGAGGUGCACUUUACAGGUCUCCGAUGAACCAAGAGAACCCUCCACCAUAUCCGGGCCCUGGUCCAACGGCCCCAUACCCACCUUAUCCACCACAACCAAUGGGUCCAGGACCUAUGGGGGGACCCUACCCACCUCCUCAAGGGUACCCCUACCAAGGAUACCCACAGUACGGCUGGCAGGGUGGACCUCAGGAGCCUCCUAAAACCACAGUGUAUGUGGUAGAAGACCAAAGAAGAGAUGAGCUGGGACCAUCCACCUGCCUCACAGCCUGCUGGACUGCUCUCUGUUGCUGCUGUCUCUGGGACAUGCUCACCUGACCAGCCCAGCCCAGCCGUCCUGUCCUGCCAGCUCUGCUGCCACCUCUGACAGAGUGGCGCCAGGCUGCCAUAGCAGCAAGUCCGAUUUUCCUCCAUCAGCUGGCCCGCCCAGCCCAGCCAGCCUGAGAAGCUGCGGCUGACUGACAGCUAGCUCCCUGCCGACUCUGCCUUCCCUCCGAAGCAGUGGCUGUGCAAAUAAAUGUUUACCAGUGCUCUCUUUAAAAA
rnacentral:sRNA from 1 species